rnacentral:sRNA from 1 species
UGGGAGUGUUGUUAUACUGUUUGUGCAGUAAGUAUCAGGAGAAGAAAGACAAUUUCAAUGCCAGUCUGUUGUUUCAUCUUAUAAUUUUCCUUUUCAUGAUCCUUUUUAGAAUUUGUGUGUGUGUGUGUGUGUGUGUGUGUUGCUGGGGACUGAACCCAGGGCCUCACCCAU